rnacentral:tRNA from 1 species
UCCCUGGUGGCUUAGAUGGUAAAGCGUCUGCCUACAAUGCGGGAGGCCCAGGUUCGAUCCCUGAGUUGGGAA